rnacentral:tRNA from 1 species
GGGCCCGUAGUUCAGCGGGAGAAUGCUCGGUUUGCACCCGAGCGACCCGGGUUCGAAUCCCGGCGGGUCCA